AUUGAACGCUGGCGGCAUGCCUUACACAUGCAAGUCGAACGGCAGCGGACCUUCGGGUGCCGGCGAGUGGCGAACGGGUGAGUAAUAUAUCGGAACGUACCUUUCAGUGGGGGAUAACGUAGCGAAAGUUACGCUAAUACCGCAUAUUCUGUGAGCAGGAAAGCAGGGGAUCGCAAGACCUUGCGCUGAUUGAGCGGCCGAUAUCAGAUUAGCUAGUUGGUGAGGUAAAGGCUCACCAAGGCGACGAUCUGUAGCGGGUCUGAGAGGAUGAUCCGCCACACUGGAACUGAGACACGGUCCAGACUCCUACGGGAGGCAGCAGUGGGGGAAUUUUGGACAAUGGGCGCAAGCCUGAUCCAGCCAUGCCGCGUGAGUGAAGAAGGCCUU
rnacentral:rRNA from 1 species